UACGUAGGGUGCAGGCGUUAAUCGGAAUUACUGGGCGUAAAGCGUGCGCAGGCGGUUUCUUAAGUCAGAUGUGAAAUCCCCGGGCUUAACCUGGGAACUGCAUUUGUGACUGGCAAGCUAGAGUAUGGCAGAGGGGGGUAGAAUUCCACGUGUAGCAGUGAAAUGCGUAGAGAUGUGGAGGAAUACCGAUGGCGAAGGCAGCCCCCUGGGCCAAUACUGACGCUCAUGCACGAAAGCGUGGGGAGCAAACAGG
rnacentral:rRNA from 1 species